GCCUCUAUGGCACAGGGGUAAUGCGUGUCACUCGUAUUAGUAAUCAUACUUGCUUGCGGUGUUAUGACAAGAUCCGCGGUUCGAUUCCGCGUGGAGGCA